ACGAACGCUGGCGGCGUGCUUAACCCAUGCAAGUCGAACGGAAAGGCCCUGCUUUUGUGGGGUGCUCGAGUGGCGAACGGGUGAGUAACACGUGAGUAACCUGCCCCUGACUUUGGGAUAACUUCAGGAAACUGGGGCUAAUACCGGAUAGGAGCUCCUGCUGCAUGGUGGGGGUUGGAAAGUUUCGGCGGUUGGGGAUGGACUCGCGGCUUAUCAGCUUGUUGGUGGGGUAGUGGCUUACCAAGGCUUUGACGGGUAGCCGGCCUGAGAGGGUGACCGGCCACAUUGGGACUGAGAUACGGCCCAGACUCCUACGGGAGGCAGCAGUGGGGAAUAUUGCACAAUGGGCGGAAGCCUGAUGCAGCAACGCCGCGUGCGGGAUGACGGCCUUCGGGUUGUAAACCGCUUUCGCCUGUGACGAAGCGUGAGUGACGGUAAUGGGUAAAGAAGCACCGGCUAACUACGUG
rnacentral:rRNA from 1 species